rnacentral:tRNA from 1 species
UAGGGUGUGGUGUAUCAAGCACAUCUCAUUUACGCUGAGAAGGACUUUACUUUAAGCACUCUAA